AAUUCGUUGCACUAUCGUUAACUGAAUACAUAGGUUAACGAGGCGAACCGGGGGAACUGAAACAUCUAAGUACCCCGAGGAAAAGAAAUCAACCGAGAUUCCCCCAGUAGCGGCGAGCGAACGGGGAGCAGCCCAGAGUCUGAAUCAGCUUGUGUGUUAGUGGAACGGUCUGGAAAGUCCGACGGUACAGGGUGAUAGUCCCCGUACACCAAAAUGCACAGGCUGUGAACUCGAAGAGUAGGGCGGGACACGUGGUAUCCUGUCUGAAUAUGGGGG
rnacentral:rRNA from 1 species